CUCAUUUAAAUGUUCUAAUAUUUAGUUAAAAACGAGAGUUAAUACAUAAUAGUAUUGAAAUUAAAAGUUUAAUCAUAAAUAAAUAAAUAACUUUUAGUAAAUUUAUGUUUUUGUACAUUGGUUAAAAAGCUCAUUAAAAUGUAAGGAGGAACCUAUGUUUUUUGUUCCGCAUUUCACGUUGUUGCCCACGGGAAGAUUGAUUGACACAAUUCUUUUUUUUGCACGUUUCUUCAAGAAGUUUCACCAGAAAGCUUUAAGACUGAUUUUCUAAGAAAAGCUGUAUAAGUUAUCUUUAUUCCUCUGGAGUUUAUGCGGCCAAUGAGUUCUGACGGCAUUUUUUGGGGCUUUGUAAGACGUGUCCACAAUAAAUGGCUGUUAAAACCAAAAGAACGACGUUGAGCCUUGAUUAUCUCUAGAGGAGUAACAGUCAGAACUCAGCCUGCUUCGGGUUGGAGAAGUGCAGAGAGGGGAAUGGAGCCUGCAGCCGCUGCGGAGCCGACAAGGAGCAGCUCGUUAAGGGGUGACGUCACUCUCUAGCAUCAAAGGAAAGACUGACCGCAAGCUGAAAUGACCCGAACCAAAGGCAGCAGAUGUCCAGGAGUGCAGCGGGCUUAAUUUACCACCAAGUAACACGUUUAAAAUAAGUUAAAUGUGAAGAGGUGAAUUAAUCUUGCUAACUUUGAAAGGGACUCUAUAAGUGCUUAAGGGGGUAAGCAGUGUUGCAUAAAGUCAAGCUGAAGUUUAAGAAAUUUUUUCUGUUUGAAGCACGGUAAUUUUUACCAAGCUAUUUAGGUCUAUUACAAGAGUUUUAACAAUUUAAGAGGGAAAUAAGGUACUUUAAAGGCAAGUUAUAAUUUAGUUUCACAUGAAAGAUAUUUUUUCUGUGUUUUGUAACAAGUGAAAGAAGAUUUAUUGUUCUGUUUAAGGUGUUAUACCACAUUUUAGUUCAUCCUGAAGAUAGAAAUAAUUUAAGUUUAAAA